UGGACAGCUAAUACCCCAAUUAUGACUUGACUAGGAAGAAAGGACCAAAGAGAGACAAUGUUUUCUCUUAUACACAUUGUUUGCACAUUGCUCGUUAACACCUCCAGGACAGAGCAUCACCAUGAAAUUCUCUAUUGAGCAGUAAAGAGAGACAGAGAGAGAGAGAGAGAGAAGAAAAAAGAAACAACAGCCUGGAAGUAGCUUUUGUCUUUCAUCACUAUUCACUACUGAGAUGGUAACUAUAGUUUAAUAGCUAUAAAAGGAGAGAGAGAUUGUCAUGCUGCCAUGAAAUGGAUAUAAACAAUUUUCAGCUGAGACUCUGACCAAAAAGAUUACUCAGGGAGUACAAUUAGAACAUUCACAACACAAAGGGAUCAUGAAUGCUUGAGGUGACGUAUCCCCUGCUACCCUCGGGGGCAAGAAAAAUAAAUAACUACAAAAAUGAGAUGAAGGAAGGAAGAAUAAGAGUCUGUUGUUAGAUCUAGAGAACUUGAAAUGAGAGUGAUCUAUUAAAACAUUUAUUAGCAAUCUCUCGAAGGCAGCUUACAAAAUAUUCCUUGAGGUUAGGAAGAAAGACGUCCUUUGAAGAUAAAAGGGCAUCUCCAUUUCCGAAAGCUGGAAAAUGAAAGUAAUUUUCCAAGGUGGCCAAAGACUGUUGCCUACCUCUGAAUUUUUAGCAUCUGACACUGCUUCUAAAUUACAUGAUGGUUUGGAGUACUGCUUCCUGCAAGGUAA
rnacentral:lncRNA from 1 species